CUGGCCUUAGUAUUCUACACAUUUGACAUAGGGCGCGCGGUCUCGUGUCCAACAAGACACCAUCCUUCUCGGCUCACGAUCGCACGUGUUCCCUCGCACCCGCAGCAUACCCUGCGCGGAUCGCUCGUUCUUACCACACUUGGACCCUACAUUCUGAGCACGGCUCAGUCAAGCCUGUCAACAUGUUGCUGGAGUGCUGCUGAGCACAGCAGACAAGAUGGCCAAGAAUCAGGAGUCAUGUACUGAUGUUCCAUGCAAGUGGAUUGUUCCUGCUGAAGGCCCCCAGGUUGCCACUUCAGGACAUUCCCUUUCAAAGACAUGUUGUGAACAAGCCUGCCUACAUUAAGAAGCAGCGCAAGUAUGACCCUUGCCACUAUGUACGACCAUCUCAAGAGGAAAUUUCUAAACUCGAGGCAAGCCUUUCUGCUAGCUGCCCUUCACUGCAAGUGCUGCACUACUUGUGUCCUGAGAACAAAGUAGCAGUUAGUAAAGUUAAUUCUGUUCAUCAGGUUUUAAAUGAUGACGAGGAUUUGUGAUCCGAGCAAGCACGAAGCCUCAUAAGUGCCCACCUACAAGGAAUGAAGCCCCUCGAUGAAGUGCAACGCGAAAAAAUAUGCAGAGACACUAUGGACCAAGCAAGAAACAAACUCUGGCACUCUGCAAGGACAGGGCGGAUAACUGCCUCAGUGUUUAAGAGAGUGUGUCGUUGCGUGAAGCCCGAAGGCUUGCUAAGAACGUUGCUCUAUCCAAGCAAUAGAGCCAUGAGCGAAGCUAUAGCCUACGGAAGAAUGCAUGAAAAAGAAGCCAUUGACGCAUAUUACCCCCUUCUACGCAGUAUAGAUGUAGAAUUGGAGGUAACUGAAACCGGAUUGCACUUUCACAAGCAGUACCCAUUUUUGACAGCAUCACCAGAUCGCAUUGUUGUCCUGGAUGGAGAGCAAGGGUUGCUUGAGGUGAAAUACCCUUUUUCGAAAAAAGGCAUGAGGUUUGAAGAUGCAUGCAAAGAGAGCAAGUUUUGCUGCAUGUUCAGAUAGGCAAGUUCAACUAAAAAAACAUCAUGCAUACUACUGCCAAGUACAAGGGCAAAUGGCUGCAACCGGACAUGAGUGGUGUGAUAUUGUGGUAUGGACAGAGGCACAAAACCAAAAUCAAAUUUAUCACAUUCACAUCGAAAGAAUUUCCUUCGAUCAGUCAUUCGGGGAAAAUAAAAUGCUCCCACCAUUGUUGCACUUCAUGCGAAGAGCUUUCGUCCUAGAGGUGCUAACAAGGCGUGUAAAACGACUGCUAAAGCUGUACACAAGUUGUGAGUACGCCUCCUAUAAGAAGAUUAAGAACGUUUUUUAUGACUUUUCUCUAAAAAUAAAAGACAGCUUGGUGCUUCGUAUGAAGACGCUGAAAUGAGCGUAAAGGUAUACGACAAUGUGACUCGUAUUGCGUGUCGCCAACUCGAAGCCUUCCCAUGGUGAAUUGCGGCCUCACAAAGCAAGAGCUACUACAGGGAAUAAUCCGGCCACGAUGAUUGCUUUAACAGAUCACUGCGUUGAGACUUUUGCGGUUGACGACUCCUGUGAGCCUUGCAAGUCUGGAAGUUUUUUCGAUGAUAUCACAAAGAUGAUUGCCCCGGACGUCUUGCAUGGCGAGGCUGAAGCUCUUUGCAACAUAUUGUUUUUUAUGUAGAUAUUUUGGACCUAAAUGACGGUCACUUGGGCCGGACAUCCCUUGUCAAACACCGUAUUCAUACUGGAGGUGCUCAGCCAAUUAAUCCGCCGCCCUUCAGAGUUUCAGCAUCAGAACGCCAAGUCAUCAAUGCAGAACCCGACAAGAUGCUUGCAAAAGACAUCACUGAGUCAUCGUCAAGUCCCUGGGCAUAACCUGUCGUGUUAGUUAAAAAUAAGGAUCGCAUGUGCACACUCUGCGUUGACUACUGCCACCUCAAUCGCAUCACAAAGGAUGUCUUCCCGCUGCCCUGUAUUGAUGACGCCCUUGCUUGUCUCUAUGGUGCCCAGCACUUCUCAUCCAUCGACAUGCGAUCCGGGUAUUGGCAAGUGGCUGUGUAUGAUCCCACCACAAAUAGUUUCAUAUUCAUAACAAUAUUGUACAAUACUUUUGUUCAUUCGCACAAAAUGUGCCUGUCCAAACUAAGUUAUGUAACUAAUUUAUGUAAAGUGGCUAAGCAAAGUCUGCUACUCGGACUAGUUUGCUCAGAAAUCCCUGGCAUACCCUGUUACAAAUGGUUGGAAGGGGUGAGGAAUACAUUGUCCCUAUAAAAACAUGACAAUUUCCGUGCACAUAGGUGCCCAGUGCAAGACUUGGGAUCAGAUUGCCAUACGUAACGUAACUCUUUUGUUAAUGUUGUGGCAAAUAACAAGGUUCGUACGCCUCCUUGAAACCCUUGAAUUUCGAAAGAUAGAUUAAAGAGCCCUUAUAUCUCCUUGAAAAUAAAUACGCUCCUUGAAGAGUGCAGUUAGACUUUCCUUUUGAACAUUAGAUGUAGCAAACUUUGCAUAAGGCUGUGCUAUGAACACUGUUUAUAGGGAAACGGCCCUAGAUAUAUUUUAAGAAUGUCGCUAAACGAUUGCAAUGUGGUGUGCCCACAGGCACCAAUGACAGGCUUGUUAACUCAGCAUUGCCAUUGUGGAUGUAGUCAAAGCCAGAUCAAGUGACCAAACCAUGUUUGCUAGUUCAUUCGCACCACAGCCACCAUGGCUACAAGUUCGAACCGCAGCCUCUAUAAAUGCCCAGCAGCGAUCAUUUAGAUUCGCGAGCAUCUUUGGCUUAAUGCAGACAGUAACCAAUACUCGUGCUAGAAGGUAACAUAUUACAGUGCGAAAGUCAACUUAGAAAAGUGACCAGCAUAGUUCA